UACAGAGGGUGCAAGCGUUGUUCGGAAUUAUUGGGCGUAAAGCGCGUGUAGGCGGCCCCGCAAGUCAGGUGUGAAAGCCCUCGGCUUAACCGAGGAAGUGCGCCUGAAACUACAGGGCUUGAGUACCGGAGAGGGUGGCGGAAUUCCCGGUGUAGAGGUGAAAUUCGUAGAUAUCGGGAGGAACACCAGUGGCGAAGGCGGCCACCUGGACGGCUACUGACGCUGAGACGCGAAAGCGUGGGGAGCAAACAGG
rnacentral:rRNA from 1 species